GUUUCGAAUAUUUUUAUGCGCGCUGACUUGACUUAUCACUCUGCCGAGGCUUUGAUGAAACUCUGUGCAUAACAGACUGUGUGGGGUAUUCGACUCCAAUUUUCAAUAGAUAGAAUAAGUGGGUGGGCACAAUUUGUGCUGAACUUGCCUCAAGCUGCAAUAUGUGGAAAACUUACAUUGUGUGGAGAGGUCUGGAGGUUUAAGCUUGCUGGUACAGAAUGUUGAUAUUCUUGAAAAUGAAGAUGAUCACAGUAUUGGGACUUACAAGUAGAUAAUAACAGAGUAACUAAAUGUGAGAAAUAUAGCAGAUGAGCAGUGCUGCAGUGAACAACUCAUAGGAUGUUGAUUUUCUUGAAAAUGAAGAUGAUCACAGUAUUGGAACUCACAAGUAGCUAAUAACAGAGGAACUAAAUGGGCGAAAUAUAGCAGAUGAGCAGUGAACAACUGAUAGAUUGUAAGUCCAUUUCAAUGAUGAACUCUGGAUUAUCACCACUAGAUCACAGUUCGAAUGGAAACUUUAAUUACACAAAAGCAAUGGCAGUGAUGGACUCUUGUUACAGGAUUUUCAAUCUACAAGUACCACAAAUGCCAUUCAUCACAGCAUACCUACUGCUUCUGCCAAAUGAAGAAUUCCCAUUCAAAAAACAAAAAGGCGUAACUUGAUUUUCUCAUUACGACUGUGUUUAUUUGCGACAUUUAGUAGUCAAUUUCGACGAAUAUUUACUGUUUUAAUAAAUUGUUUAAAUCUUGAAAACCUGUCGUGGUUUCAUGCUUCCGUUGGGUGGUUAUAGUACGUUUCCAGGCUUGCAAGAAGGUUGGUCUUCCUAUCGAUUUGGGUGGGGUUGUCAGGGUGGAAAUGUUAAACACCUACCCAAAGGGUGGAAAAAGUAGAAAACCUUGUGAACCAAAUAUUUCGGUGGGAAUCACCACUUUUUUCAUUUAGAGUGUAGGGCAUGGCAAGAAUAGACACAAUGGAUUUCUUUUUUGUGGGUGUUGUAAAGAAUAAG